rnacentral:rRNA from 1 species
CCUACGGGUGGCAGCAGUGAGGAAUAUUGGUCAAUGGGAGAGAUCCUGAACCAGCCAAGCCGCGUGAGCGAAGACGGCCCUAUUGGUUUUAAACCCUUUUUGUCGGAGAACAAAACCCGGGACGUGUCCCGGACUGCGUGUAUCCGAAGAAAAAGCAUCGGCUAACUCCGUGCCAGCAGCCGCGGUAAUACGGGGGAUGCGAGAGUUAUCCGGAUUUAUUGGGUUUAAAGGGUGCGUAGGCGGUCCGUUAAGUCAGCGGUAAAAUUGCGGGGCUCAACCCCGUCGAGCCGUUGAAACUGGCAGAGUUGAGUUGGAGAGAGGUACGCGGAAUGCGCGGUGUAGCGGUGAAAUGCAUAGAUAUCGCGCAGAACACCGAUUGCGAAGGCAGCGUACCGGCGCCAGACUGACGCUGAGGCACGAAAGCGUGGGGAGCGAACAGGAUUAGAUACCCGGGUAGUC